rnacentral:rRNA from 1 species
GCCUGGUUAGUACUUGGAUGGGAGACCGCCCUGGGAAUACCAGGU